UACGUAGGGUGCAAGCGUUGUCCGGAAUUAUUGGGCGUAAAGAGCUCGUAGGCGGUCUGUCGCGUCGGAUGUGAAAAUCCAGGGCUCAACCCUGGACCUGCAUUCGAUACGGGCAGACUAGAGUCCGGCAGGGGAGACUGGAAUUCCUGGUGUAGCGGUGAAAUGCGCAGAUAUCAGGAGGAACACCGGUGGCGAAGGCGGGUCUCUGGGCAGUAACUGACGCUGAGGAGCGAAAGCGUGGGGAGCGAACAGG
rnacentral:rRNA from 1 species